ACUGACUCUCUUUUCGGAUCAGCCUGCCUGCACCAAGGUGAAAUAAACAGCCUUGUUGCUCACACAAAGCCUGUUUGGUGGUCUCUUCACACGGACGUGAGUGAAAUUUGGUGCUGUGACUCGGAUCAGGGGACCUCCCUCGGGAGAUCAAUCCUCUGUCCUCCUGCUCUUUACUCCAUGAGAGAGAUCCACCUACGACCUCGGGUCCUCAGACCAACCAGCCCAAGGAACAUCUCACCAAUUUUAAAUCGGGUAUACAUCCAGAUGGCCUGAAGUAACUGAAGAAUCACAAAAGAAGUGAGAAUGGCCUGUUCCUGCCUUAACUGAUGACACUGCCUUGUGAAAUUCCUUCUGGCUCAAAAUCUCCCCCAUUGAGCACCUUAUGACCCCCACCCCUACCAGCCAGAGAACAACCCCCUUUGACUGUAAUUUUCCAUUACCUACCCAAAUCCUAUAAAAUGGCCCCACCCCUAUCUCCCUUCACUGACUCUCUUUUCGGACUCAGCCCACCUGCACCCAGGUGAAAUAAACAGCCUUGUUGCUCACACAA
rnacentral:lncRNA from 1 species